rnacentral:rRNA from 1 species
AAACUGAAGAGUUUGAUCAUGGCUCAGAUUGAACGCUGGCGGCAGGCCUAACACAUGCAAGUCGAGCGGUAACAGAUCUAGCUUGCUAGAUGCUGACGAGCGGCGGACGGGUGAGUAAUGCAUAGGAAUCUGCCCGGUAGUGGGGGAUAACCUGGGGAAACCCAGGCUAAUACCGCAUACGUCCUACGGGAGAAAGGGGGCUCCGGCUCCCGCUAUUGGAUGAGC